AUGUGCACAUCUCCACUCCGACGAGGUACCGGCAGCACCGUUCCUGAAGCCUCACACCGCCGUCACCGCAGCAAAUCCGCCGAAGCCGCGCAGCCGUGGUCCAACACCACCCGCACUGCCGAGAGAGCGCGAACCAGACCUCCACUAACAUCACCGUCGAGAAGCAACCACCUCCUCCAAGCGGAGCAAAAGCCAGAUCCGCUCCAUCGGCCUUCAUCGACAUCGAGAGACUGCCGCCUGAUUGGAUCUGGCCCGCCCCCCAACCUCACUUCGGCGCCAUCUCCAACGGGGCAUCGCCGCGAUCCCUUUCACACGGAGGCGGCCGGACGCCCGCUGCGCGCCAGGACACCUUCCUGGCAGGGCCAUCUCGGCGCCGCCGCCCCCAUGGCUGAUCCAACACCGCCGCCUCCGCCGUUGCUGGCGCUCCACCUGCCGCCACCUACCAGCGGUGCUCCUCGCCAGGAUCCGGCGAACGCCCUCGCCGUGCCCUCCGCCGUGCCUCCAACCACACCGCGAGUCCCCGCGCCGUCUGCGAGAAGAAAGCCAUGGUCUUUCCACUGCCGCGCGGCGAAACCAACCCCACAGGCCCAGAUCGAAACGGAUCUGGACCUGACCGCACCUUCAUCCACUGCUCCGGCGCCAGCGCUUCCGGGGGCAUCACCUCACGCCCACCGCAUGGAGACGGCCGACCGCCCGCUGCCCGCCAGGAUCUCCUUCCUGGCAGGGCCUCCUCAGCGCCGCCACCUCCAUGGCAGAGCGCUCGCGCCGCCGCCGCCCACCAGUGCCAGCGCACCGCCUUCUUCCUCCUCCUCCGCACAACAACCUCCUGACCCGGUUCCUUCGCACCACCGCGCUCUCCGCCAUGCUCCGGCGACCAGCAACAAGAUCACGCCACUGGCCACCCCACCUCCAAGGCUGGCCCCGGGGAAGACCCGCUCCGCGCGAAGGGGCCUGUCGUGGGGGCGUCGCCAGCACCCUCCGCCUUUGGCGGCCGGGCGCGGCCGCCACCGCCGGCGGCGGCAGCGGCCGGGGAAGGAGAUCCGGCGGCUUCUGGUUUAG
rnacentral:rRNA from 1 species